ensembl:lncRNA
CUUUGUCCCACCCUCCCAUCUCACCUUCCUUCCUCUCCUCUUUUGUCCCACCCUCCCAUCUCACCUUCCUUCCUCUCCUCUUUUGUCCCACCCUCCCAUCUCACCUUCCUUCCUCUCCUAUUUUGUCCCACCCUCCCAUCUCACCUUCCUUCCUCUUAUCCCUCAUCGCUCUCUCUAAGCUGACACUACAAUGCACUGAACUGAAGUCCAUCCAGUCUGCCUGAUCAUUUAAAUCCUGACCCGGCUGUUGAUGUUUAAUAGACAGGCAGUGCAGUGCAGCUCAUGCAUUCACCCCUUCUUUUUUAUUUGAUUUUUCUCUCCUCUGUUCUUUUCUUUUGACUGUGCUGUUUUUCACAGUUCAAUGCAACAUGAAGAUUGUAAUGUAUGUAGAGCUGUGCUCUCUCUCCAUCUCGCUUUCUAUCGUUAAUUCUCCUCUCUCUCUCUUUGUGGCUAAAUUUAGACCUCAGUGUGUUGCGUAGACGGUUAUUGAUUUCCAACGAGAAAAAAAAUCACUUGCUUUAUAUGCAGAGACUGUACGAUUAAUAGAAUGACAGUCAACCACAGCAAUCUCUCUCCUCUCUCUCUUGCUCACUCUCCUCUCUCUCUCUCUCUCUCUCUCUCUCUUUCUCUCUCUCGCUCUCUCUCUCAUUGUCUCUUCUCUCUCUCUCUCUCUCUCUCUCUCUCGCUGUCUCUCUCUCGCUGUCUCUCUCUCACUGUCUCUCUCUCACUGUCUCUUUCUCCUCUCUCUCUGUCUCUCUGUAUCUCUCUCUGUAUCUCUCUCUGUAUCUCUCUCUGUAUCUCUCUCUGUAUCUCUCUCUCUCUCGCUGUCUCUCUCUCGCUGUCUCUCUCUCUCUCCCCCCUUUCUCUCUCUCUCUCUCUGGUCACAUUAUCAUGUAUAGAUGAAGACCAGCAGCUAUAAUUCAUAAUCCAUGAUUUAGGUACCAGAUGGUCAAGCUAAUAAUCAGGCCCCUGAAAGGUGUGUGCAUUGGCACAUCACAUGCACACUCAGCAUUUAGCGUUGGCUCGCGUGCACACACACACACCUGCCAGCAUGGCUGUGUGUGAUGAUAACACCCCUAAAUUAGGAUGGACAGAGCAGAACUCUGGCGAGGAUGGAGUGGUGGAAUAAUAAACAAGUGCCCUCUGAGAGAUGACUGUGUCUCAGUGAGCUCCUGAUUAAUGUCUGGAGGGAGGGAGAUAGGGAGGGAGAGAGGGAGGGAGAGAGGGAAGGAGAGAGAGGGGGAGAGAGGGAGGAAGAGAGGGAAGGAGAGAGGGAGGAAGAGAGGGAAGGAGAGAGAGGGGGAGAGAGGGAGGAAGAGAGGGAGGAAUAGAGUGAAGGAGAGAGGGAGGAAGAGAGGGAGGAAUAGAGGGAAGGAGAGAGGGAUGCAAACUUUGAUGUUUACCGCCAGCUCCUCGAAAUGUCAGCUGGAAUCCAGAAUGGCUGAAAAAAAGCAUGUGUGUGUGUGUACAAACACACACACACACACACUGUAGCCUCCACAUCCCUCUUGUUAUGCUGUACAGUAAAUGUGUGGCUGGGAAUGAGCACCACAAGGAGCUAGUUGCUAAUUGCUGUGACAUUUGACCAGAGAGUUGUCAGAUGAAUAACUAGUGAGAGUGAUGACGUCACACCUCCUGCUCUGCUCACACACACACACACACACACACACACACACACACACACACACACACACACACACACACACACACACACACACAUCCUGCACUGCUGGGUCGGGGGUUCUAGACAAACUCACUUUUUGUUUUACAUUGUGUGUAAAGCAAUGUUCAUACAGUACAUCCUUAUAGAUGAUGUUCAUCAUCAGGGGGAUGAUAUGUGUGUGAGAGUGGUUGUCUCGUGUGUGACGGUCUCUUGGACACAGUUAAAGACAUCCCCAUCUGGUAUCUAAUCAUGAGAAAGGGUACGUUUUAAAAUGGUACCCUACUGUAUUACCCAUCUAGUGCACUACUUGUGACCAGAGCCCUAUGUAGGAAAUAGGGUGCCAAUGGGAUGAGGCCUAAGUCAGUGCUGACGGUCUUCUUCCUUUUCUGUUGGGGACAGUCAAGUCAGGGUUGGCUGUGGGCGUUGCUCUGUGCUUACGAUGAGAGGAGAAAACUACUGUAAAAUUAAGAAUUAAUAUAAGACAAAAUAUCUCCAAAUUGGGUGUUUGCUGGUUUAAAGAGAAUCAUUUUGUGAUAUAGUUUAGAUCGUUAGUUUGCAGACACUAACUGGGUGAAUCAGUUCUGUUGUAUUAUAUCUGCAUGUGGUAAGUGAUUGGUAGCUAGCUAUCUUUUUUUCAAGAAAAACAACGGGAAAAACGACGACGGGGUAAAAAACGAACAGCAAAAUGCUGAUCUUCUCUUGUUCUCUUGAUUUCCGUUUUCUGUAUUUAUAUUUUUCGUUCCGACUUCCUAAAAAAUACUUUCACGUUAUGUUCUUUGAAUGUUUGUGUUUUAAUUUAUUUGUGGUUUGCCAAAAUGAAGAUGUUGAAGCAUGUCGCAGGUAUUGUCACAGAAAAAGAUAAAUAAAUCCGAACUAAGAAUGAUGAUGCUUAUCUGUGUCAGAAGGAGGGUGUUCAGUUGUAUAUUUUAUAGGGGACUUUCAAAGAACCAGAUUAAGAAGGACUAGACAAUGAUGUCAACAUUCUCCAGAAACUAAUCUCACUGGGAGCAGAACUCUAUGGAACCCACUGGAACUGAAGGAUCAAUCGGGAUUCUCUGCUCUCACGUGUAUUUCCUACUCUCUUCUGUGAUAUCACUGAUGUCCUUCCUUCUUUUUCUGGUUCCAGACUUCGGUACUGCUCGGGUAGAAGUUGCCCUUAGGCACAGAUCUAGGAUCAGCUUACCCUGCCUAAAUCCUAACCUUCACGAUUACAAUGGAAUACGCACAUCUGCCCCUAGAUCAGCUUCUUGGGGCAACUUCACCCUACUCCCGAUUGAAGUGUCUAGUCCAGGCCGAGGUCAAAAGUUCAAAAGGUGAAAGGUCGUUGCAAGACCAAACAGGAAUGUGCAAUAAAAGUUACAGCUUAUUGAAACUGAU